GCGGACGGCUCAGUAACACGUCGGUAACCUACCCUCGGGAGGGGGAUAACCCCGGGAAACUGGGGCUAAUCCCCCAUAGGCCUGGGGUACUGGAAGGUCCCCAGGCCGAAAGGGAGCCGUAAGGCUCCGCCCGAGGAUGGGCCGGCGGCCGAUUAGGUAGUUGGUGGGGUAACGGCCCACCAAGCCGAAGAUCGGUACGGGCCGUGAGAGCGGGAGCCCGGAGAUGGACACUGAGACACGGGUCCAGGCCCUACGGGGCGCAGCAGGCGCGAAACCUCCGCAAUGCGGGAAACCGCGACGGGGGGACCCCCAGUGCCGUGCCUCUGGCACGGCUUUUCCGGAGUGUAAAAAGCUCCGGGAAUAAGGGCUGGGCAAGGCCGGUGGCAGCCGCCGCGGUAAUACCGGCGGCCCGAGUGGUGGCCACUAUUAUUGGGCCUAAAGCGGCCGUAGCCGGGCCCGUAAGUCCCUGGCGAAAUCCCACGGCUCAACCGUGGGGCUCGCUGGGGAUACUGCGGGCCUUGGGACCGGGAGAGGCCGGGGGUACCCCCGGGGUAGGGGUGAAAUCCUAUAAUCCCGGGGGGACCGCCAGUGGCGAAGGCGCCCGGCUGGAACGGGUCCGACGGUGAGGGCCGAAGGCCAGGGGAGCGAACCGGAUUAGAUACCCGGGUAGUCCUGGCUGUAAAGGAUGCGGGCUAGGUGUCGGGCGAGCUUGCUCGCCCGGUGCCGUAGGGAAGCCGUUAAGCCCGCCGCCUGGGGAGUACGGCCGCAAGGCUGAAACUUAAAGGAAUUGGCGGGGGAGCACUACAAGGGGUGGAGCGUGCGGUUUAAUUGGAUUCAACGCCGGGAACCUCACCGGGGGCGACGGCAGGAUGAAGGCCAGGCUGAAGGUCUUGCCGGACGCGCCGAGAGGAGGUGCAUGGCCGCCGUCAG
rnacentral:rRNA from 1 species